rnacentral:rRNA from 1 species
UGGGGAAUAUUGCACAAUGGGGGAAACCCUGAUGCAGCGACGCCGCGUGAACGAAGAAGGUAUUCGUAUCGUAAAGUUCUGUCCUAUGGGAAGAUAAUGACAGUACCAUAGAAGAAAGCUCCGGCUAAAUACGUGCCAGCAGCCGCGGUAAUACGUAUGGAGCGAGCGUUGUCCGGAAUUAUUGGGCGUAAAGGGUACGCAGGCGGUUUAAUAAGUCGAAUGUUAAAGUUCGGGGUUCAACCCCGUAAAGCAUUGGAAACUGAUAAACUUGAGUAGUGGAGAGGAAAGUGGAAUUCCUAGUGUAGUGGUGAAAUACGUAGAUAUUAGGAGGAAUACCAGUAGCGAAGGCGACUUUCUGGACACAAACUGACGCUGAGGUACGAAAGCGUGGGGAGCAAACAGG